AGGACAGAGUGCAGUUGGGAGAGGGAAGACAGUGCAGAGAAAUCAUUUUCCUUGAGGAAAAGUCUUUCCAGAAUUGGGCUUUCAGACUAGCUGUCAUAUUCACAUUAAUCAUGAGUUAUGCUAAAACUGAUGGAGAAAUCAAGCCAAAUAUAACUCUAAUCCAGAAUGAUACCAGCAGAGUUGAUACGAGAAAGGCUAUUCUUAUGGCAGUUUUUGAGAAUACAACACAAGGAAUUCUUGGCCAUAUGUAUAUUUUAGAAAGAAUGCUAAUAAGCCUGAGAGCCCAGAGGAGAGCAACUUCCAUAAUGAAGAGUUUCAUGAUCAUGAAACAUGAUGAUGUCAUGUCAAAGGAAAUGGGAAGAUUCAGUCUGGAGAAGAGAAGUCUCAGUAGGGGAGAAUAAUAACUGUCUUCCAUUAUUUUAAGGGAUGUCACAUGGAAAAGGAUUUUGAUUCUUCUUUACUCUGGAGGGCAAAGCAAGGAGCAAUGGGUAGAAACUGCAAAAAGGCAAACAAGUUUGAUGUAAGGACAAAUUUGUUAACAAUUAGAGCUGUCCAAAAUCAGAAAUGACCUGCCUUAAGAGACAGUGAGUCCCCCUUUUUGGGAAUCCUCAAAGGAGGCUGGAUGAAGAUUUAUGUUGUAGAGGGGAUUCUUAUUCAAAGUACAAACUGAUGGCUCUGAGAUCCCUUCUUAAGCUGGAUUCUGUGAAUCUAUGACCUUGCUUCAGAUCAGCCUCAGGAGAUGAACAAAGAAAAACUGGUUUGGUUUUGUAUAUGUUUAUGGGGAAGGAGUUAUUAUUUUUUUAAAGCACCAUUUCUCAAAGCCAUGGGCUAGGUAGGGUCUUUGAGAAAGCCUCCCUGACAACAGCUUUCAGGCCUGCCCUGGACCUUCUGACUUCUUGGGCUCACUGCUGGAUGUUGAAACAAAUCAAGUUUUCUGGAUAGAGAGAGCCAGGCUUGGAAGGGGACAAUAGAGGAAGGAGCCAGGCUCACAAAACCACAAGAAAUUAGAAAGGGAUGUGAAUUAAAUAAUCAUUAAGUUUAAUCUCAUUUUAUAAAGAAAAUUGAGAUUUGGGGAAAGGGACUUCCUUCAGAUCACUAAGUUGAUCAUUGACAAAAUUAGAAUUAGAUUCCAUGUCUUCAAGCCCCUAGUAUUCUUUCCACUGAACACAAACUUAAAAGACUGUAGUUUUCUUCCUCUACCUUCACCUCUUCUUUCACUUUUUCUCUUCCCUUUCUCCCUCAU